rfam:Megasphaera sp. DJF_B143 contig_14, whole genome shotgun sequence.
AUAAAAAGCUAGGGGAGCCGCAAGGCUGAGAAUGACCCUUUAACCUGAUUCGGGUAAUGCCGACGUAGGGAAGCUGUUACCGGAUAUG